rnacentral:lncRNA from 1 species
UUUUUUUUUCACCUGAGUGUCUCCUUUACUACUCACACAGGAUACUUCAUUUCUGAUACUCUCUUUACCUAAUGUGUGGAGGUUUUUCUCACACCAAGUAAUUCUCGGACACCUGUGAGGUGUCCAAAGACUCAACUCAGUUCUGACACUAUCUACCUGGAGAUAGCAUCAGAACCUCCAGGUACAGGCUCAGUCCUCCACAAGACUGGACUCCUCACACACACAAAUUUCAGAGGCCAGUCCCACACCCAGUUUAUCACUUGUGCUUCUGACCAAUCAGCUUAGAUUGGAGGUUCCAAUGACCCCUCCUGUGUUUGAUUAAUUUGUUAGAGCAGCUCACAAAACUCAGGGUAACAGUUAUUUAAAUUUACCAGCUUAUUAAAGGAUAUAAUAAAGCAUGCAGAUGAAUAGUCAGACAAAGAGGUAACAUAGAGCAAGUUUUGGGAGGGUCUAAAGGUCAGGAACUUCUGGCCCUGUGAAGUCGGGGUGCAUUAUCCUCUCGGUAUGGAUGUAUUCAACCAACUUGGAAGCUCUGUGAACCCUGUAUUAUGGGGAUAUUAUGGAAGCCUCCUUACAUAAAUGUGAUCAAUUAUUAAUUCCUUUCCAGCCUCUCUCCCCGCUCUGAAAGAUAGGGAAUGAAGAUGAAAAUUCCAAGCUUCUAAUCAUGGCUUAUACUCUCUAGUGACCAGCACUCACCCAGGAGCCAUUCAGGAGCCCACCUAGAGUCAUCACAUUAGAUUAAAAGAUAUUCCUGGUUCUCUUAUCACUUAGGAACUUACAAGGUUUAUAUGAGCUCUUAUCAGGGAUAGAGUCAAAAACAAAUAGAACAAGAGAUGUUCCCUGUGUUUUUAUCACUUAGGAAAUUACAAGGAUUUUAUAGGAGCUCUGUGCCAGAAACUGAGGUCAGAUAUCCAUGGAUAUUUUUUAUUAUUUCACAGGGCUAUGCAAAUGAUUUACUAAUUUCAAGAGGCAACAGGCAGGCGGAAAAAUAGGAUUUAUAGAACACAGACUUGGGCUUAAUUCUUGGGUCAAUCCCUACCAGUUUUGUGACAUUGACAGUUUAUUAACCUCUUUAAGCACUUGAUCUCUCAUCUAUAAAAUGGAGAUUUUAAUACAUACUCUGCAAGGUAUUAAAAAAAUACAAUGAAAUGACCUAAGUACAUAAUACAAUUCUUGGAACAUAAAAGAUUUUCAAAAAUAUGUUUAGUUCCCUAUUCCCACUAAUCAUUUUAUACAUGAUGCUUACAGUUUGUAUGCUUCAUCAUCACGCAGUACAAGAAUAUCUCAGAAUACCUUCAGUACUCUCACUGGGCUAAGUUAGAUUAUUUUGUUCAUAAUAUGCCUGGAAUUCUUUUCACAUAUGUAAAGAUUUUAGAGUUGGCUGCUAACAUGCUGUUAAUGCUAGAUCAUAACUUUAAACUACUUAAAGAGAGAGUUUAUGGACAUGAAAGGAAAACUCAUGGCAGGGCAAUGGCAGAAGGUACCUGGAGGCUCAAAAACUCUGUGACAGCUUCCCCAACCCCCACCAAGCUGGGCAGCGAAGGCCUAAUUCAUCCAUGCUUUGGGUCAGCUCUGGCACUAAGUAUCCAUGAAAAGGGACAGAUACCAAUGAGCAAAACUAUCAAUUGAAUGUGAAGUCUCAUGUUUCAGAACACAGACUGUUUUUAAGGCUUUGUUAGAAGGAUGCUUCCUUAAAUUUAUGAAAUGGCAAGAGAAUUUGCUUCUUCUUAGCUUACUUAGUAAGAGUGUCCAAAAUUUCUCUCCCUUAAACAACUAUGAAGAAUUUGUUGUUCUACUCUGUAGGUAAGAGAAUUAGUAGCAAGCUGAGUGAUUUAGAUUCUUAUGUAGAAAAUUCAAGAUUCAAUUGUCAAUCAUAGUAUUUGUUGAAACGCCAGCUGUUGCGAGAUGGAAAUGCUUAGUACUCUGUGACAGUGAAUGCACUCCUAAUAUCACCAAUGCUUUCUCUAUCCUUCUCUUUCCUUCCCAUCCUUCUGCUUUCCUUCUUUCCCUCAAACAUGAGAGGAAACCAUUGAGCAGAUUCUGGAACACGGCAAUAGUUCAUGACCACCACUCCUCUCUUUCCACUUCAGCAGGAUGGCUACACAGUCUUCAUUCUCCCCACUUUCUUUUUUGUGCCUUCGUAUUUUUUUCUGAUACAGAAGGAACAUAAAUAAGAGUUUGCUUGACCCAGGAGAGAAAUGCUCUGAUUCCUACCAUCCAGGGAGAUUCCAAGAGAUGUCCAGAAGAGAAGAGCUGCUUGAUGCUACUAGAUAGAUGAGGCCAUAGAUAGCCUCAGAAUUGCCAGAGUAUAGUGAAGAGAACUUAGGGAGGUCCUGUGACCCCCAUACAUGCUAUUUAUGCCUUCUGACCCUCUUCCUUUGAGUGGGGCCAGGGAGUAUGACUUGCUUCUGGCCAUUGAUACAGCAAAGGUGAUGGAAUGUCACUUUCAUAAUAACAUAAGAUUAAAACUAACAUCUUGUUAAGAGACUCUUUGCCUUGCUGGCUGUGAAGAAGCAAGGGGCCAUGUCUAAAGGCCUACUUUCAGUUGCUACAAGUAGCCUCCAAGAUGACAGUCAGUAAAACUGUCCAACAGUCACAAGGACAUGAAUGCUAUUAACAACCAAGUAAGCUUGGAAGUGGCUCCUUUUCUAGCUGAGCCUUGGCUUAGAUUACAGCCCUGGCUGACAAAUUGUGAGACUGGUAAACCCAAAUAAUGGGGCAAAACUCCUGAUUUAUGAUGGAAAACUUGACAUAAUAAACAUGUGUUGUUGUUUUAAGCCACAAAUUUGUAGCAACACUACAGCAAUAUAAUAUAGAGAACGCAAAUAGGAGGAAGUACUAAGACAGGGAGAAGAGACAAAAACGUCAGCUACAACUGGCUACCGAGAAGUAAGUAGGACCGAAGAUAUUUUGCAGUCAGUGAUCCCUUGCAAGGCUCUGAAAUGGAGUUUAGUGUGCAGGAAGUUCAUUAGGAAGCACCCUUGGGAUCAACACCUGUAGAAGGGAGGCAGAAGAACCAGUUAGUACAGAGGGAGAGAUGGAUUUGGGACACGGGAAUAAUCAACCAACCUGAGACACACUGGAACUGGAAAGGCCUUUCAGAGUUACCAUUCACUGGAUGAGAUGUCUGAGGCUUUAUAUCCCCACAGUGAACUGUCACUGAAUAUGUGUAGCCCUAGGAAGGUCAUAACCUUGAGUAAUGUGGUAUCAUGUGAAAGCUAUCUUCUGUAAUCUCAGCAAGUGAGGCUACAUGCCCUUCAUUAAAGAGAGAUCUGGGGCUGGCAUCACCAUAUCCAUUACAGAUGUGCAACUGGAUAGACUAGACUGGUGACCAAAGCAUAGGUUACUCUGUACCUUGCCAGAACCACAGAAGCUCCCUGUAAAUCUGACACUGCUUUGAGAGUGGAGUGAUCUCAAAUUGAUCGUUAACUGUCUGUCACCAAGUUAGAAUACAAAAAUCAAAAUAAAAACCAAAUUGAGUUAUAGAAAAAUUGUCAUAUUCUCUGUUGUAAGAGCUAUUAUAAUUAUACCAAGAGCAUAAGAAUAGAGGUAUGUUUCAAGUAGAAAAACCAAGGAAGAUUUCAUAUAUGAGAAGAAACUGAUGGUACUCUCAAAAAAAAAUAGAGAUUGAAAAAAAAAUCUAAUGAACAGACUAGUGCAAAUGUACAGGCAGGGUUAGAGGGAUAAAUAAGGGAUGGUAAAGCAUUCUGGGGCCAACAAGAGCAUGAUGUCCCUACCUUUCUUAGAUUGUUAGGGUCAAGGUCAGAGAAACAUAACUGUAACUCAAACAAAGGGUUAUUACAGUAGGGAACUUGUGGUUUUAGAAAGAGGAUCAUAGACACUGCCAAAACAAAACUCUUUAUCUUUCCCUCUGCAGUCUCAGAUCUGCCAAUACCUCCCACUGGCUAACCCCGUGGGAAGCCAGAGGGUGGGAUCCCUGAGUGGCUCAGUGGUUUAGUGCCUGCCUUCAGCCCAGGGCAUGAUCCUGGAGACCCGCGAUCGAGUCCCAUGUCCGCUCCCUGCGUGGAGCCUGCUUCUCCCUCUUCCUGUGUCUCUACCUCUCUCUCUCUCUCUCUCUCUCUGUGUGUGUGUGUGUCUCAUGAAUAAAUGAAUAAAAUCUUAAAAAAAAAAAAAGAAGAAGAAGAAGAAGCCAGAGGGCAAGGAGUCCAGGAGAUGCAGCCCAAAGUAGUUAGCCACCCAGCUCAUUGAGCAGAAGAAAAGGUAGGUCUGGGAGUGCUAGAAAAUUCCAUCAUGGGUGGGAAGUGAAGGUGAAAACCUUAAACUAAGGAAAUAGGAUGAAUAAGGGAGAGAAAUAGAAAAUUCCAAAACCUGUUUAAACAACACUCAGUAGUCCAAUGUGUUCAGAGUAUAAGCACCCUAAGGUGGUAGUUUGAGAUGGAACAGACUUGGUUCAGAAAGGAAGAAUGGGGAAGGGAUUGAAAGUAUUCUGUCCAGAGGUUCUCAUCAGGAAAUUCAGCAGAUCCUGGUUUUCCAGUAGACCCUGGCAAAAUAGGAGAGCAUUGAUUCUGUGUUAUAAUCCAACAGUUUUAUCCCCUGUAUUUACUUUAAGGAGUCAGACUGGAGAAUGUGUUUAUGGGCUGGUGGUUUUUCUGGCUAUGUAAUAGUGAGUCAUGUUAUAACAAGUUUGUAUUUAUUUUCAUCUGGCUAUACCCAUCAAGGUCUAGUUACUCAGUUGCUUCAUUUUUUUCAUUAGAGAACAGCCUGCUAAGAUCCUUAAUCAUUGUUCUUGAUCACUCUGAUUUUCCCUCAGUGUUGAGGGACUGAAGAAGCCCUGUUAAAUGGAAUAUGCCAGGUGCAUUCACAUCACUGUCACGUGGGAAAAAUCUCUUGUGUGGUGUAAAAUCACACAGGCAUGUGUUGCAGCUAAUUAAUUGGAUGACAACCAAUCUCUCAAGUCUUUUCCAACAUUAUUGCUUUCCCGGCUUUUCACACCCAUCAUGUCAACACAUGUUUCCCCAGUCUGUUAGCUUAUCCUUUUGCUAGCAAUCUAACACUAAUUUACCAACAGAUUGUUUAACCUUUCUUCAUUCUUUUUGGUUGUUUUGCCUUCUUCGAUAUUUGUAACAUCUCUUGGGGAAAUAUCUCCUUGGAAUUCUAUUGACAUAUAACUUCCUCCAUCAUCUGGAAGAAUUUACCAUUGCACAGCAAGUUACAUUUUAAAAUGGUUAUAUUUUUCUCCAGAAACAUGCCAUUUCAUUUUUUUAUAGUUUCCUCUCUUCAAGUUGGGAAAUUACCUAUAUUGAGCAAUUAUUUGGUGCCAAGUACUCUACCAAACAUAAUGCUAUGUGAUUUCAUUUGUUAAAUUGCUCCUCAUGAUGACAGCAUCUUAUCACUCCUUUUCAUGCAACAUAUGGUUCAAAGUGAUCACGUAAUUUGUACAUCACAUAACCAAAAUGUUUCAGAGCUAGGUUUAGAGACUCAAGUCUCCUUGACACCAGAAACUAUAACCUUUCCCUGUGCUCAAAGUACAAAGCCCUCUACCAUUCUCCUUUGUUCUCAACAGGUGGCCAAUAUGGUUAUUCUUAGAAAAAUAUAAAAUCAUAUGAGCCACUAACUUUUCAAUGUGGCUAAAUUAGUGUUAACUCUUCCAAAAGUAUUUACAUUUUAUGAGAAGUAUUACGAAGAGAAUUCCAAGAAAUGACUCUAAGAAUGGUUUUCAGGAUUGCAAUUGGCUGUAGCGGUUACUUUUGGAUAAAGAAGUCUUUGGCAGCAUUCAAAAUUUAGUAGGCAGCUCUCUCAAUCUCCCCUAUUAGGCUAAUUUGUUUCAUCAGUAAGAGUUGACAAAGACUGAUCAUUUUGUUUUACACAGCAAGGUAACAUUUUUACCUUCCUGAACAGGAUAUCAUUCAGCUCUCAAUUUUUCACCAUUGUAUUGAUUGAAUGCUGAAAUUCAGUGCCGUGACCUACCAGCAGCAGCAGCAGCAGCCACAGUCCCAUCUCCUUAUACACACAGCAACAUUUAACUUGAGAGGUUCUAUAUUGUAAAAAUGCUUGGUUGUCUUCAUGGAACCUUCAGAGGCUCAAGAUUAAGACUGUGAUUCUUAGCAUCUUUGGCCUGGAAGAAACUCCCAUUUACUGUAGAGAUUUCUUUUCAUAUACCUCUAGCCAGGAACAUCUCUACACUGGAUAAUGGUGCCUCAUUGACCCUUUAGGGUCAUCUGAACAUCUGAAGAUGUCCUUGGAGGGGACAUAUUUAUUGGGAAUCCCUUAGAAAUUUUUUUUCUUUUUCUUUUGAGCUUCAGAACUUAAGUGAUCCACUAUGAAAGGAAAAAAAAAAAAAAA